AAUAUUUUUGAGCACCUACCACAUGCCAGGAAACUUGCCAGGAGCUUGGGAUGCCAUCUAAAGACCGCUUACAGUGGCCCCAGUGGUAAACCGUGAUCUCUAUGGAUACCAGGAGACGGAACCUCCCUCUGACUUUCCCCAGCCCUUGAUACGCACAACUCCAUGAUGAAAAUGUCUGGGAGCCACAGGUUCUUGGCUGCCAUGCUCAUCUUCGUGAUGCCUUCGCACUCCUCUGGGUUCCAGCUGAUGAAUGGGUUAUCCCAAACCUGGAGCCCAGGCAGAGGAGACAGACAGGGCCUUGGUAUGCUGCCUAGGCUGGUGUUGAACUCCUGGCCUCAAGUGAUCUUCCUGUCUCAGCCCCCCCAAGCACUGGAAUGACAGGCAUGGGCCACUAUGGCUGGCUGUUUACCCAUUUUUAAACCAAGUUGGUUUUUGUUGUUGAGUUUCAGGAGUUCUGUGACCAGCUUGGAUAUUAAUUCCUUAUCAGCUAUGUAAUUUACAAAUAUUUUCUCCCAUUGUG